rnacentral:tRNA from 3 species
GCCCCUAUAGCUCAGUUGGUUAGAGCAACAGACUUUUAAUCUGUGGGUCCAGGGUUCGAGUCCCUGUGGGGGCACCA